UACAGAGGGUGCAAGCGUUAAUCGGAAUUACUGGGCGUAAAGCGCGCGUAGGUGGUUUGGUAAGUCGGAUGUGAAAUCCCCGGGCUCAACCUGGGAACUGCAUUCGAAACUGCCUGGCUAGAGUUUGAGAGAGGGAAGUGGAAUUCCACAUGUAGCGGUGAAAUGCGUAGAUAUCGUGAGGAACACCAGAGGCGAAGGCGGUUACCUGGACAGUUACUGACGCUCAGGCACGAAAGCAUGGGGAGCAAAAGGG
rnacentral:rRNA from 1 species